GCUCCCCUGCUCCAUAGAUGUUUCCUGCAUGGUUUAUCUCCUCAGUCAUCGUCCACAGGACUCUGAGAAGUUGUAGGAAUAUGCAGGCGCAGACUCAAGGCCUGGCUUUCUCUCCAACGUUGUGGAAAGGGACUGUACAUCACG